UGCCAGCAGCCGCGGUAAUACGGAGGGGGCUAGCGUUGUUCGGAAUUACUGGGCGUAAAGCGUGCGUAGGCGGAUUAUUAAGUUAGAGGUGAAAUCCCAGGGCUCAACCCUGGAACUGCCUUUAAAACUGGUAAUCUAGAGUUAUGGAGAGGUAAGUGGAAUUCCUAGUGUAGAGGUGAAAUUCGUAGAUAUUAGGAGGAACACCAGAGGCGAAGGCGGCUUACUGGACAUAUACUGACGCUGAGGCACGAAAGUGUGGGUAGCAAACAGGAUUAGAUA
rnacentral:rRNA from 1 species